rnacentral:misc_RNA from 1 species
AAGUCGUAACAAGGUAACCGUAGGUGAACCUGCGGUUGGAUCAUUAAUAAAAUUUAGAGGUUGAGCCCUUAAAAGCUUGGCCUUUAUAAACCCCUGUGAACAAUAUUGCUGUGGGCAACCACAGUCAAUUUUUGAACUUUUACAUCAUGAACUAGUUUUACGUUUGUUAAUAAUAAACAACUUUUGACAACGGAUCUCUAGGCUCUC